rnacentral:snoRNA from 1 species
UUUCAUUUUGAAGUAAUCUCUAUACCCAACAUGGGGCUCAAACUUACAACCCUGAGAUCAAGAGUCACAUACACUACCAACUGAGUCAGC